UAUUUGAUGACAAUAGCAAGUAGAAGCGCAGCAGUUGUUGUGUAGAUGAAGAGCUGCUGAAGCGUGCAGAGGUUUUUGUGCAGCUGCUCCAUUAGUUUGUAUCACUGUGAUGGACUUUCAGCAGCGGCGCCAGACUGGAUGUUGGCAUCAUCACUCCUCCUAAACUAAGCGUCCUGCCCCCGUCCAGCGCAGCCAUGUCCUCAAAGAGCGCAGCGACACUGAUGUGUGUGGCCAGCGGGGGAUUCCCGUCAGAUUGGAGCUUGAGCUGGACGCUGGAGGGCAGCAGCGGAGGGUCUCAGGACAGCACCGUCGGGGUCCUGCAGGAGGAUGGUCUGUACAGCUGGAGCAGCAGCCUGACUCUCUCUGAACAGCAGUGGAUGGAGAGCGUCUCAGUGACCUGUGAGGCCACACGCAGCGGCCAGCUUCCUGUCAUUCAACAAUUCAACAGAGAUCAGUGCUCACAGUAGACAUGAUGCAGUCUUCUGUUUCUCUGAUUAAUUCAUAAUCAUUCAUAAUAAUGAUUCUCUCUUUGAGCUGAAAUAAAACCCUUUAUAUCUUU